CUGACUAGAGGUUUAUAGAUUUUGUUAAUUCUUUUAAAGAACAAGCUCCUGGGUUCAUUGAUCUGUUCUACUGUUUUUUUAGUUUCUAGAUUAUUUCU